UCUUACCCUAGUCCAUCUACCGAGCCGGAGGCCACGCACUAAGCCGCACCAGCCAGCGUCCAGGCUGUAAAAUUACACCGGUAUCUAUCUAAUUUUACGUUUAUGUGCCCACGUUCCCGUCCACCUUCCAUCCACGUCCUUUUCUUUUCUUGAGUUAAAAAAAGGUUGCCAACGGUUCGAGAUUAUCGACGGCGAACAACAUGCGGGGAUACGGCGGCGGCGUGCUCCGUGAUUUGGCACGGCGAGAUUUUGCUCGCGGAGCGCCGUGCUGCUCGGCGGCGUGGUGUCGACACUGGGGUGGUCGCUGGGCGAUUGGGGCGGCCUGGUGUGCCCCGCUGGUGAGAUGUGCCGCCGUCAUGGUUGACAGCUUCCUCGAGCACGGCCUCCUCGGAUCCGUCCUCCUCGUCCCCAGAUCCAUCCUUCCAUAUUCAGUUGCAUGCCGCUAAAUCAGUCGGGACAGACCCCAAUCUGCUCGCUCAGGUGCCCCUCGAGCUCCCAAUUGGACUAAUGUCUGAUGGAUCUGGGUUCUCCGGAUGGUGGUGUUGAAGGGACCCGAGUGGCUAACAACGUGACCGGCAAGCGGGAGGCAACCACAACCAGCGUCCUCGAGCUCUACUACUAAUCAUUCUGUCAUCAGUGGCAGUGUGCAAGAAGAAUACGGAUGGAUGUGUCCACAAGCAAGAUAGCAAGCAUAUCUCCAGGGACCGAUGGUUGUUGAUAGGCAGGGGCUAAAUGGCAUGUCAAAGAGGGGGAGAGAGACAUAAGAGGAGACGCCGUGGCUGGAGGUGCUCCUCUCCUUUAUGUCUAGCUUCCUCAGUCUCUGUAAUACAUCGUAUUUGUUUUCUAAUAUGUGUAUCGUCUUAACACACUGUGCACGGAUCUGCCUAACGGAAGAGGAAGAAUUUGGUGAAGAAGAACACGGUGAUUUUAUUGUUUCUUUCUUUUUCACACAAACAAGUUUGUUCCUGCAUUUUGAUUUGAUGAUUUGUGAUAAUUGUAAACAUGAGUUCUGCGUAUUCGGGAAAUAAGAAAACACUAAAGAAGUUUGGCAUUUUGAUUUGAUGAUUUGUGAUCAUUGUAAACAUAAAGUCUUUUGAUAGCUCGAAAAAUUGUAUAAUCUUUCCAGUCUCUUAUUCUUUGUUCUUUCUAUUUGACCAAGUAAUAACUUUUAACUCUAGUUUGGCAAUGAUCAAUGCACAGUUCUGCUGUUUCCAUUAGGCAGCUGGUGUGUUGGUUGAGGACAGGUUUGACUAUUUGAGUAGUUGUUUUUUCCUCUUGGAGUAAUUGGCUUAGUGUUUUUUUCUUUUGCGCUUGCUCUUGGCAAGUUUUUGUAUGAUAUAAUGUUUUUCUAUUGUUGGAAGGGCAGCCCUCCCGUGUUUUGUUACAAAUAAUCAUGGCCUGCAGGAAAAAGAGCUCAGUUGCUGAAGAGAUACACUUGAAAAAGAAGCUACAAGCUUCACUAAAUAAGUCAACAUCAGUGUUUAGUUGUUGAGCAAGGAUAGUCUAAAAAAACUAUUCAGAAGCAUUUUGAGAAAUUUCUUUUCUUCUUCUUUAAUUUGCCUGGUUCAUUAAUCCUCUUGUAUAAUGGGACGUUUCACCUUACAUUCAGUAUCUAACUAAACUAGAAAUUAAACAUUGGCUGCUGGAUAUAUGUCAGAUGACGUGCACAUAUGGUGUUUUCUUUUGAUAUUUCUCUGCCAGGAAAUUAGGUGUUGUCAAGGAAAUAAUCUUCUUGUCAACAAUUCCAUUUUUUUAAUAUUCGCUUUACAUAACUUUGUUAAGAAUUGGAGCAAAAUUUAGAGCUGAAUUGAUGUUUCAGGGCUACUAUCUUAUAGAUAUAGUACAAUCAAUUGGCUGGCUACUAUGUGAUGGUCUACUUGGUUUGAGGAGCUAUCUGGUUAUCUCUGUACAAGCAUGCUUAUAUCCUGAAUGAAUGUGAUGUUACAUUGAGUCGCUCAUUGAUUGUUGUAUUUUAGUUUUUUAGCUAUUAAGAUAGCCAUUCAAUUACAUUAACCUUUGCAGGUGCCAGAACCUGAAAUGGCGAAAUAUACUUUUAUCUAGUUAGAUUUUAUUAUUACUGCAUAGUAAAAUGAAUUGUAGCCUAAAGAUUGUCUGCCUUCAUAAGAAAGAAAUACUUCUUAAAAUGAUCAUAUGGUGCAGUCCCAGCCUGCGUUUUGACGGCCUGUCUCAAAACUGUAGCCUCGUAUGGCCCAAGGUGAGCUAAAUGCUGAAUCCACCGAACCUUUUCAUAGUAUAGGUUGUGUAGUGUUUUUCAUCUAUGUUUUUGUGAGCUAAACGAUGUUAGUGUUUUAUAGUUCACUUGCAAUUCUUUUUGAAAAUCCAAGUUCCCUCAUCAUAUUUGAGCAGUCAAGGUAAAUCCAACAUGGAAUUUUUGAGUUUUUUAUUCUUAGUAUGUGAUGCAGUAGUCACUACGAAGAUAUAAUUCAUGCCAGCCAUGUAUUACUAAAAGCAGAAGAAUCCUAUUUAUUGAAUUUGUACUUUCCAAUAGUCUGCUUCACUCACUACCAAGAUUUAACUUAUGUUUUGGCAUACUCUUGAAACGAGCAUAAAUACUUGAGAUUUAAUGUACUCUAUAUGUCCUAUUGUGGCAUGCUACUCACUCUACAAAUUUAGAUCUGAAUAUUUAGUAUCUAUCUUACUAUUUAGUCUUGGUGGGAAGUGAGCCACCUGCACUAGAAAAAUUAGAAUGUAGCACAUGCAAAUACUAUGAAAAAUACUUUCAUACUUAACACAUUUGUUCUAGAGCUGAUUGAAUCGCUACCUUGUCUAAUGUGACUCAGAAAUAUAUUACUGUUAAUGUAGUUUUUUUGUGUGGACUAUACCAUUAAUGUAGUUGGUAAACUUAUAAUGUGAUCUUGCUUUCCUUAUGUUUCCAACCCUUCUUAUCAUUGUCAGUUUAGGAUUUGUAAGUUUAACAUGGUUAUUUCGCUUGUAGGCUUUUGAUGUCGUGGAUGGUAAAUGAGCAAAACAUACCAACUCAUUAUGUCCCAGUUUUAAGGCAUCCCUGUUUAGUGACUCCAUCUUGAUUCAGCUGGCUACAACACUUGAUCUGGCUAGAUGUCCACUAGAUUGUGGCUGCAGUGUGAAUUGUUUUCUUUCUUUUUUGGGUGUGAAUUCAUGCGUGGUUUGAUGGUAUGCCAUCUUCUCUGGACACAAUAGCUAAUAGCCCAUGGAAACAAAGCCAAGUGGUCAGUGGAAGUACUUUCUUGGAAGAAACAGAUGAAUCAUAGUUAUUUGCUUUCCGAAUCUGUAUAUUCUUCCAUCUUCUUGAUGUAAAGCAUCAUGAUUUUUUUACAAUUGUCAAGUAUCAUGAUAAAAAUGAAUUCUUACAUUUA